rnacentral:rRNA from 1 species
GAGACCCACGCCAACAGUUGCCAGCAUGUCCUCCGGGAUGAUGGGGACACUGUUGGGACCGCCUCUGCUAAAGAGGAGGAAGGAAUGGGCAACGGUAGGUCAGCAUGCCCCGAAUUAUCCGGGCUACACGCGGGCUACAAUGGUCAGGACAAUGGGUAUCGACACCGAGAGGUGAAGGCAAUCUCUUAAACCUGUCCUUAGUUCGGAUUGUGGGCUGUAACUCGCCCACAUGAAGCUGGAAUCCGUAGUAAUCGCGUCUCAAAAUGGCGCGGUGAAUAU